AUGGCCGGCAAAGCUCGGGUGCUCAUGUGCGCGGCGCUCGUCGUCCUCCUGCUCCUUGUCGAGACCACCGCUCCGAGUGGACAAGCUCACGCCGUCGAUUGCGGCAGCGCGUGCUCGUACCGGUGCAGCAAGUCGAGCCGGCCGAAUCUGUGCAACAGGGCGUGCAACACGUGCUGCCGGCGAUGCGACUGCGUGCCGCCCGGCACCGCCGGCAACGAGGAAGUCUGCCCCUGCUACGCCAACAUGACCACGCACAACGGCCGCCACAAGUGCCCGUGA
rnacentral:rRNA from 1 species